UUUGUUAGCAUCGAACGAUAGCGAUCGCCAUUCACCGUAACGUUGCGUCCAACAGCAUCUUUGAAAAAAUACGGUCCAAUGAUUCCACCAGCGUACAAACCACACCAAACAGUGCAUUUUUCGGGAUGCAUGGGCAGUUGGCCACCAAGAUCAUGCGAUUUAACGCCUUUAGACUAUUUUUUGUGGGGCUACGUCAAGUCUAAAGUCUACAGAAAUAAGCCAGCAACUAUUCCAGCUUUGGAAGACAACAUUUCCGAAGAAAUUCGGGCUAUUCCGGCCGAAAUGCUCGAAAAAGUUGCCCAAAAUUGGACUUGCCGAAUCGACCACCUAAGACGCAGCCGCGGUCAACAUUUAAAUGAAAUUAUCUUCAAAAAGUAAAUGUCAUGAACCAAUCUAACGUUUCAAAUAAAGAACCGAUGAGAUUUUGCAAAUUUUAUGCGUUUUUUUUUAAAAAAGUUAUCAAGCUCUUAAAAAAUCACCCGAUAUAAACUUACAUAGGUACGAAUUCUUACUUACUAGUACUUAUUUCUAUAUACUCUAUAAUGAUAACGUAAGCAAUAAUUAUAGCAAAACAGCAAACCUCAGUUUGGUCGAGAAGCGGCUUACAUUGCGGCGGCACGGCUUCCGUUCUGGUUUAGUGCCGACGAAAUGUGUUGUUGUUGUAAAUUUUGGAAAUUAACUUUAUUGAGCAAUGAUAUUGUAUAUUUACAGAAUAUUGCUGAAUUGAGUAAUAUCGGUAUAUUUUGCUAGCUACGACAACUUUGUUGUUGUACAUUUUGUUAGCUAUGCUAGCUGUGAUAACUUGUAAGUUUUCAUUAUAUGUAUGUAUAUGUAUACAUUUGGUUUUCUUGUUGUUUUGUAUCUUCCGCUUUUGCUUAGGUUUUGAGCAAACUUGCUUGUUGUUUGUUUUGUUUUUAGCCCAAGGGGUAUCGCAGGAAAUAUUGCAAGUAGUAAAUACUUAUGUAAUACUGGACUUAGCAAUUUGUUUUUUUUUUUGAAAUUUUAUAACGGUGGGUCUAAAGACAUAAGCCAAGCAAAUUGGCAGGUACUGUACUUUUUGCAGUUACUUUUUUUUACAUAUACAUAUAUCGAACUUUUAAGAACAGUUAACUUUGUCCUGAAAUACCGUCGAAACUGUAAACUCAAUUAAUGUACAUAUAUGUAUAUAUAUUAUAUGUGGAACGGCCUCACUUUAUUUUCCCCUAAGGGUUUCGGGUCUUUCUACCUAUACCCUUUUUCGUUUUUUUCUUCUAUUAAUGUAGGUAUGUCUAGCGCUGUUAUUUAUUUCUUUUUUUACUUAGGUACUCGAAGGACCAUUUGCUCACGUAUGACACUGGUAUACUUACGGUAGACUUUGGAAAAUGAAAACGCACUGAUCUCAAUUAUAAUGCAAACACUCUGUAUACAAUUUUUAUUUAAUCUGUAUAGAACAACUUAAUUUUUAUUUGGUUUUCCGCGAAACACAAUGCUUGACACUGCUGGCAGAAUCUGGGAUUUGCGUAACUCCGUCACUUUGGCGGUUUAACAAAAAAGAAAGUGCGGAUGUUGCGGUUGAAGAUAAGAAAAAUUGCGGUAGAACGUCUUGAUUCACGGAUGAAACGAUAAGAAGAAGUAUCUCGUUCGGCUCUAUUUCUUUUUAUAGUUUGGGUGGUGGAUUGAUCCGUUGGUGAUGAAGUCGGGGGUUGUAUGAUGAGGUGUAUAAUGAGCGAUAUUGUGUUCUUUGUUCCGUGGUUUUUUUAUUUUUAUUUUUUAUAGUAGGGGGAAGCAUAGAAAGCCGGAAUGCGGAACUUUAAUCCGCUAAACCUAACCUACUCCCAACUCAAGGCUCUCCCACGGGACCACCGAUUAAGUAUUACUUCGUGGGAGGGACAGGACAUUUCAGUCUCUUAUAUUAUGCUGAUUAACGGAACGCCUAAUUUGUUCAAAAAGUCUCAGUUUUGUCAUUAUGGAUGCUGACGCUUCGCUGACAGCUUUCCAAUUAUCAGUCGACUGACACAUACCAUCGAGUCAGCAUAGAAUUUUGAGAUUGCUGAGCUGGGACGAGCGUAGCAACUUACAAAAUAUAUCCCCUGUAUAUUCGCCCAUGUGAAGCAGUUAUGAGCUUUUCUGGAGCAGGUCUUAAAAGGUUGACUUUUGCAGGACCAUAUUGGUGCUUUGCCAGAUUUGUCUGCAAUGCAUGUACUUACCGCACGCUGAAAGUGUUGUUCACUUAGUAUGGCGACAUCAAUGUUCUCUUCUAUGACUAUCUGUUCUAGCAAAUCCUGAGCUGCUGCGCAAUGGUUGACGUUAAGCUGUAGUAUCCUCAUUUACUUAGACACUUCAUCAUCUCGAGAUACUUUGGGCAAGUCGUGCUCAAUACUGAGUGCUACGCUUUGCUGAGCAUGCAGCUCGGAAAGUUUGCGCAUACCUUUGCUAAAUAUCCCACUGAUCCACAACGUGUACAAAGAGAAGAUCUGUCUGUCGAGCUGCAGCAAUUGCGCGCCAUGUGACCCAGGUGGAAACACUUAUAGCAUCUGGGAACAGGUGAGUAUUCUCGAAGACGACAGAUCGACCACCCAAUCUUUAUUUUCCCUAUUUUAAGUGCGGCCUUGGCAUCUUGAGCACGCAUGCAUACAAGUGUUGUUUGUGUGCCACUACGCGUUUUUUAGCAGAUUUUUCACACUCAAUAUCUCCAGAUUUUCGAUUCCACACUAUCUUUUUGUGCUGCGCAGAUUUCGAGGUCUUUGCACGUAAUCGUGACGUUGUGGGUCUUGGGCUGUAUCUUAGCCAUUUCGCCAAGAUUCGGCUUUCGUCUCUGCUCGAUUUUUUAGUUCUAUAAGUAAAUCUCUUUUCAGUGUUUUACGAAUAUAGUUUACAUUUGAACCCAGUUCUUCCAGCCCGCUGUCACAUUUAAUUUUUCCCAGAACAUCAGCAUACGACGCAUCAUCCUUCUUUGUUAUAAUUAUGGCAUCUGGUUGUGUUCUGAUUUUUCUUUCCAAAGAGUGAACGGCGUUAUCUUCCGAUUUCAUCCAUUUCAAAUUGUCCAUAGAGGUUCUUAUAUAUAUUAUGCUUGGCAAAUUUAAUUGCUGUAGCCUUAGUGGUUUAAGAGAUACGUACAUUAAACUUAUAAAAAGACGGGCACAUGCCGACUUUGUCAAAAUUUUGAAUUCACAGGUGCCCCUUGCUCCUGCGAUUCCCUAUGUUGAAUUACAGUUCUAUAUCUUAAUUAAGUGCUUAGUUAUGUCAAUUUAUAAGUCUUCGUUUAAUGUUCAUUAUUUUUUUUACAAUUUAUUUCGAAAGCCGUUUAUUUGGGGGUUUCUUUUGUUAAUCGUUUAACUGCUCUUGAACAGAACAGUCAAAUAUUCGAGUGGUUUGUACUGCUGACUUCCUUAAGUUUAAAAUUCUUCCAAUUUCACUUAAAGAAUAACCUUCAUUUCUAAAUUUAAUAACGGUUUUUCGAAUUGCUUCGGAAACUUCCCUUCCUUUGUCCAUUUUUAUAGUAAAAAACACUUCUCGAUUAAAAAAUUAUAAUUGUGACCAAUUUCAAUGAAAUGUUAAGCAAUACUGAUGGUUUGAAACAAAUAUCAAGAAAAUGUGCAACGGUACACUUUGCUUUUUGCAUCGUAUGUGGAUUUAUGUAUGUAAAUAUGGGAAAUUAAGUAGUUUAACUUUUUUGUCGUUACUUUAAAAAAUUUUGUAUUGGAGAGAUUUAUAAUGAUUUUGUUUUUCACUUAAAGUUCUAAAAACUAAUAACAUAUGAACAGUACUUUGAUAUUUGUAAUUAAAUUAUUUUUUCAUGGACGUAUGUAAACUUUUGUAAGACUGCGUUCGUAUAACCCUAUAUCUAUCUCGAUCAGUUUUGGUUGAUGCCUUCAACCGUUAGGUGAACAAAAGUACUAUACCCUGCAACAGCAUAUUUGUGUUCGUACCAAUUGGAGAUUCCAAGUGUAGCCAGGUCCUUCUCCUCUGAUCUUUCCAACGGAGUGGAAGUCUUCCUCUGCUUCCCCCGGCGGGUAUUGCGUUGAAUACUUUCAGAUCUGAAGUUAUCCAUUCGGACGACAUGACCUAGUCACCGUAGCAGGUGUCUCUUGACGCUGAACUAUGCCAAUGUCAUCGUAUGCCUCGUAACUGCGAUUGUGGUCAUUGCCAAUACGCAAAAGACAAUAAGUCUUUCAGAACCCUUCCCUCGAAAACUCGUAACGCCGACGACUUUUCGUUUGAUGACAGGAGAUAUAGCGUCUUGCCCUCGUUGUCUACCAGACCCAUUUGCCUGGCUUCUUUGCCCAACCAUCCCGAUCCUCAUACAUGGCGGCUUAGAGGCAGUUUUAUUUCAUGCUGUGCAAAACAGCUACGAAAUCGACGAAAAGGAUGUGAGCGUCGAUCUUCUUUUUACGGGUCUUUUCAGAGAUUUGGCGAAUGAUAAAAAUCUGGUCGAUUGUAGAUUUUCCAGGCCUAACAUCACACAAAUUGUAGAGGAAGAGGAAGACCUCCACUCCGUUGGAAGGAACAAGUGGAGAAGGACCUGGCUUUGCUUGGAAUAUCCAAUUGGCGCCACGUAGCGAAAAGACGAAACGUUUGGCGCGCUGUUGCUAACUCGGCUAUAAUCGCGUAAGCGGUGUCUGCGCCAGUAAAGAAGAAGAAGGUCACACUAAUAAGGUCCAAUCAGUUUGUUGACAGUAGUCUUCAGUCUCUCACACAGUACCUUUGAGAGAACCUUAUUUGCGAUUUUGAGAAGGCUUAACCGACAGUAUUUGGCGCAAAUUGUGGUGAUUCCCAGUUUGUAGAUUGGGCAGAGCACAUUUAAAUCGGGCGUGCUUUCCUCCAACCAUAUUCUGCAAAAAAGCUGUUGCAUGCUACUUAUCAGUUCUUCGCGACCAUGUUGAAUAGCUCGGCUGGCAGUCCGUCGGCAUUAAACUUCUUCUUGGGCAAUAGAACGUGUGCAUCAUCGUCAUCGAUUGAGGAAUUGGAUUAAUUAUCUCCUAACGUCAUGCUUUCACUGCCAUUCGGCAGGCUGGAGAAGUGCUCCUCUAAUAAUCUCAGUGUGCUCUGGGCAGUCAGUAGAUCACCUCUAGGGUUUCUACAAUAGUAUGCUCCGGUCAUGAAACCUUCUGUUAGUUGCCGCAUCUUUUUGUUGAAUUUUCGAGCAUUAUUCUUGUCGGCCAGCUUGUCAAGGUCUUCGUACUCAUGCAUUUCGGCCUUUCUCUUUUGUCUGAAAAUGCGUCUCGCUUCCCUCUUCAACUCUCGUCAUCUAUCCCAUCCGUGUCGUAUUGUGCUCAAUUGGAACGUUGCGAGGUAGGCAAUCUAUUUUCGCUCCACUGCGACUCGGCACCCCUCAUCGUACCAGCUGUUCUUCUGUCUUUUCCGAAAACCAAUGGUUUCGUAUGCAGCUGUACGUCAGGAGCUUGAAAUGUCGUCCCACAAUUCCCUUAUAAGGAGUUGCUAAUCGGUACUCUCAGAAAGCAGGAGUGCAAGUCGGCUGUCGCGACGUCGAACAUUCUUUGCGUUUUUUGAAGUGCGUUGGUUGCUGCACCUAGGCGGGUAAUAUAGAGGUUCAAGUCAGUGCUAGAACUUCGGCGGAUACCCAAGUCUUAAACACAGGAGAGGUGUGUCUAUCACAUCGUGAUCGAUUUAUUGGUGGUGUUUCGUUUCGGAGAUAACCAUUUUUACGGACCCUGGCAAAGUCGAUCAGCUUCAACUCAUUUGGGGAUGUUUCACAGCGAUGGUGUCAGUCUUUAUUCCACCGAGGACAUCAACCAGCGGAACAGCCGCACGUUGCCAAUUAAAGGACAAGACAUUCCAGAUACAUGGCCUUAAAUCGUAAUCUUUAAUACGUUUGCUUUCGUCGUCAUCAAAAGGAGGUUUCUCAUCAAAGGCUGUUUUAUUUGUUUUCAUGGGGAGUGUUUUUUUACGUGACAGGUUCCAAGUCCAGCACACAACCCUAUUUCGCCUUCUCACUGUUACUAGCGUGGAUGUUUUUUUUUGGCUACCCAGAGAAUACUUCGUCAAAGACCGAAAGUCGUGAACUGCUUGAGCCAUAUAUAAAAUAAUCAUUUCUGCCCACUCCCCAAGUAAUGUCGCUCAGAGAACAUUCCUCACUAGCAAGUACUUCUACGCAUGGUUCCUUCCACCAAUUAGAUGCAUACGACGUACAUAUUUUUCCGCCAAAGUUAUCUUAUUAUUAAAUAGUUGCAUAUUUCUGUUCUCUAAUCGAUGACGGGAUCGGGAAGGACCUCACGAAUACAUUGGAUGCCAAGCGAAGUUUCAGGCAAGGCGAUUCCUUGUCGUGUGACUUUUUCAAUCUAUUGCUGGAAAAAAUAAUGCGAGCUGCAGAGCUAAAUAGAGAAGGUAUAAUCUUCUAAAGUGUGUUAAGCUGCUGGCCUACUUUGAUAUCAUUGGCCUCAACAACCGUGCAAUUAGCAAAGCAAAUGGGUCUGGUGGUGAACGAGUACAAGACGAAAAAUCUCCUGUCAUCAAACAAGCAGUCGUUGCACUCGUGACUAGGCACCCACGUUGCUGUUGAAGGUUAUAACUUUGAAGUCGUAGAUAAUUUCAUCCACCACGGAGCUAGCAUUAAAACUCAAAAUCUAACGCAGAAUAACUCUUGCCAACAUGUACUACUUCGGACUGAGUAGGCAAUUGUGAAGUAAAGUCCUCUCUCGAUGAAUAAAAACCAAACUCUAUACGGAACUCAUAUUGCUAUUACGGUGCAGGGGCAUGGAAGAUGGUAACAUCUGAUGAGUCAGCCUAGAUUUAUGGUCCUUUGCCCAUUGGCAUGGAGAAAUACCACAGUCAAUGGAACGAUGAGCUGUACGAGACAUACGACGAUAUUGACAUAGUUCAGCGAAUUAAGAGAUCGGCUGUGCUGGCUGGCUGGUCUUGUCGUCCGAAAGGGUGAAAAAACUCCAUCUCUCAGAGAUACUAUACAUUCGAUGCAGUACCACUCCAAUAAAGAAGAAGAGGAUAUGUAACUGCAAUGCGCAUAAAAUUUUAUGUUUUUGUCUUUUGUUGUCUCUGAAAUCCACUUAAAUCUACUUUAGUACACUUUUUUAAUAAAUAAAUUCAAAUAUCUUAUUUUCUUUUUUUGUGGUUCUUUUAGCGUAAGUGCUUUUCUAUAUUCAGUAUUCAAAUACCUUUUUUUAUUUUUCCAAUUUAUUUUUAAAGAAACUUUAGAUCUACGCUUAAGUGCAAGUCGCUCCCUUUUUGCACACUACUUAUUUGCAUCUAUUAAACAUUCAAUUUACUAGUUUCAUUUGUUACUUCAAUUUUUCAAAUAUAUCUAAUUUUAUUCAAUUUCAAAUACAAUUUAUUCGCUUGAUUUCUUUAGGCAUUGGACAUUGUUUUUCCUGUUAUUUUUACUUCACUUCAUUAGAGUGAACACGUGACGGACAGAACUAUGCUGAUACAGACCGCUAUAGAACGUUUUCGCUGUUCGAACGGGAAUCAGAAAAAAGACCGUUUUUCGAUCGAGGACCAACUUAAAGGUCUGCUGGGUUGAAAAUAUGCGUGGAUUGUAUGGUGUAUUAAAUGAAUUUUUGUGAAUACGGUUCUAUGUGAGUGGCGUUCUCCUGCAUUAGUGUGGUGUGUCGAAGGGUGCAGUGUUGUAAAAUAUUGGAUGUUAAGGGUAUGCAAUAGCUCAUUUAGCCAGGUAGUAAUUUUCCAUCCACAUAUCGACAAUAGUCAUCAUUGGCAAAAUGUUAUCCCUUGAUAUUGGUGAGCAAUAGCGUCUUUCAUUCAACCAUUGACGGGGACUGUUAACGACCGACCACAGGAGGACCACCAUGUGACCCAAGUCAUUCGGGUUGACAUUGCCGUCAUUUUCAAUGGCGUCUUGGAGGUGUACUCCCUCUUAAUAUUUACAUACAUACAUAGCCACCAAAACUGAGAUAGUAGUGUCCUACAGCUUAGUACAAAUUAAAAUUGUUUUCAUAUGGGAUGGGUAAAAGUCCACGCAGGUUACUCUUUUAUUUCGUUUGUUUGAGAGAUAUUAAAGUGAUAUCAUCGGUCAUUUUCUCUGGGGUAGACUUAAAUUCACGGAGCAAGGUGUUAUGGUCCAGGACAUGUUGAUUUUUAGAAACAGUUGCUUGCUGCUUGCGUUGUAUUCUUUGAUAUCAUCUGCCAGUCUCCGCGUCGUCGUCUCCCAUAAAAUGUAGCUGUAAAAAUUGCGACUGUUUAUUAAGUGGUUGUAACGGUAAUCUUGUUUUGUUAUGUAUUUGGCCUUGUACUGUGAGAGUAGGAGAAAAUGCAGGCUUUGCCUUUCUUCGCUCCGAAUGACGUCAUGUGAAAGCAUGCGUUGUUUUUUUACACGGUUCGGUAACUGUGGAGACUCUUCAGUUGUACUUGUGCAUAAUGUUUUUGUAUGCACACAUUGAAAUAAUUCUUUGCACAUACAAGGUGCUUUCCAAAGUAAACAGGACUUUAAAAAAAACCAGAACAAAUAGCUUUUUUCGGCAAAAUCAAUUUAUUUUAUUCAAAAUAGUCUCCUUCUGCUGCAUGAAGGACAAAUUAUCGUCCUUCGAAUGUUGGAUUCUGAGCAAUUUUUGGUCGUCAGUCAAUUUUUGCGGAACAAACUGUGCACACACCUUUCGUAAGCCCAAAUAUUCGGUCAAAAUGCGAUAAGUCGAUAUUUUGGAGAUGUUAAAUUUCAUUUCCAUGAAUUUCAAUUAUGAUUUCGGCUGAUUUUUGAUGAAUUCACGCACAGUUUCGCUGGAAUUUCCGGUGAUCACGGAUUUUGAUUGGCUCACAUGUUGAUCGUCAUUUAUGUCCUCACGACCACGACCACUUUGAAAACGUUGAAACCACUCGCGCACUCUGCUACGCGAUAGACAAUCAUCGCCAUAAACUUGUUUCUUUCUUUGCUUGAAACGUUUCGAGAAAAGUUUUACCAAUUUUAAAACAAAAUUUAAUUUUGGCUCUUUUGGCACCGAUAACACAAAUGUACUGACACUUAAAACGCAAUAACUUCAUUUCCAAUAAAUGAAAUGUCAUGAAAUUUUCACUGGGCAAUCAACUAACGCAUCAGUCGACAUACAGAUGGCGUCACUAGGGGGCGCUAGCUUCAAAAAGUCAUGUUUACUUUGCAUUGCACCUUGUAUAAAUAUUUUAAGUAAGAUAAAUAUGUGAAUAUAGUUUUACUUUUGAAAUGCGUAAGCUCCGCGUUACUAGUUUUAGUAAUCCAUUGUUUCUCAAUCCUCAUUGAUUGUGGAAGGAAACAUUUCUGAUGCCAUCAACACUGCUUCUUCUGCAGAUAUUUCUUUCACUCCUCCUUCAUUGAGUUUAAAUAUUAUUCCAGUCAGCGCCACCACCCAUGAAAGCGGGGAAAAGACACUUCCUUGAGGAGUGUCUCUGCUUAUGUAGCUUACUCAUUUCGAUGAGCCAUUUGUUGCUAUUAUCGUUUUGUUCAUAAGCGUCGACACAUGAGCAUCUGUGAACUGUAACUACCCGCUUUUGAUAGGAACACCACUUUGAUUCUUUUUCAGCUUGUCAGUAUGUAAAAUAGUUCGAUGUUAGCCUUACAAGUAUAUACAUAUGUAUUAUUGCCUUGGAAGCAUUAGUUUCUUUAACCUUUGCAUCAUUAUGGGAAAAAUCCCAACUAAAUACUCGUAUAUGGCAUAAAUGGCAUGAAACUGUUUAUUGCGAAUGAGUUGUCUAUAAAGUUUUUUUCUUACUUACUAUGAAUCCGAAUUGGUCACCUAUUUUCGCAAGUAGUUGUGGUUGCAUAUCUACUGCGGCUUUCUGACAGCCAGAAAAGUGCGUUUUUAUGAGUUAAUCUAAGGAUUCACCUGAAAAGGAUCUCCAAGAAGGAGCCAUCGCAUUUUGAGAAGCGAUUGGUUGAGUAAGCUAUCUUGGUAAAUUUAUCCCAAACUGUUGUUCCAGAGUUUUCGCGGACAAUGUUCAGUUAACGACGAGGCUAUUCGAUUAGGUUGAUCGCGUAAGCUCCUAGACUUUCUCACAGCCCGAAAAGUUUAAAGAGCUUGGAAAAAUAAAUGUUGGCUCCUACUGCUCCUAUCUCACAUAAAUAAAUUGCUAUUUAGAAUAUAUUAGGGGGAUUGCUCUUGCAAAACCCUUGCACGGUGCACGUAUUGCACGGAUUUCAGAGUUAUCCGACUCAACAACAAAACACACGCUGAAAAUAUUUCCAAUUGCUGUAUAAUAUGUCGGAUCAAACCCCAUCUUCACUUUUGCGCAAUGACACGUAAAAAAAUAAUUGCAACCUUUUACCAGCUGUCAUUUUACAUAGGGACAUAUUUCGCCAAUAAUAUGUUGAGAGACUUUUUUUAAGAAUAAAUACAGAAGGUGCGGGGAGCGAAGAUGAAAAGGCAAUGACUGGCUUGCUACAAUUGGCGCAGGACUCCAAGAGGAGGCUGAUGGUAGAACCAUUGAAGCAAAAAUAGCUAAAAUGUGUCCCUACUACGCCCAGCUGAGGGAAAUACUUAUGUGGAAAGCGUGUACCGGGCAUGCAACAGUUACUGUUUGCCUUCGCCUCAGCUGUGUGCAGCGAGUUCUGCUCCAAAAUUCGAUAUCAAAUUUUUAGAAGCGGAAAAUGCACUUGCUGCGCCUUCUAUCGCACCAAUGUGCACGCCAUGUCAACUGGGCAACCGAAAUCUUCCAUUGAACAAUUGGAGGCUAUCCAAGCGGCGAAAAUUGCCAUGGAAGAGAAGUAACUUGAAUUUGAAAAAUAUUAGUUUGAAAAACAAAUUAAAAUUCAAGAAAAAAAGGAUAUAGAAUUAAAGAUAUUAGAAAUAGAUGAAAAAUAUAUAUUGUUAGAUUUAGAAAUGAAAGCAAGAGUGGUUAAGUACGAAAUUGAUAAAA